AUUGAACGCUGGCGGCAGGCCUAACACAUGCAAGUCGAGCGGAUGAAGGGAGCUUGCUCCUGGAUUCAGCGGCGGACGGGUGAGUAAUGCCUAGGAAUCUGCCUGGUAGUGGGGGAUAACGUCCGGAGACGGGCGCUACUACCGCAUACGUCCUGCUGGAGAAAGUGGGGGAUCUUCGGACCUCACGCUAUCAGAUGAGCCUAGGUCGGAUUAGCUAGUUGGUGGGGUAAAGGCCUACCAAGGCGACGAUCCGUAACUGGUCUGAGAGGAUGAUCAGUCACACUGGAACUGAGACACGGUCCAGACGCCUACGGGAGGCAGCAGUGGGGAAUAUUGGACAAUGGGCGAAAGCCUGAUCCAGCCAGGCCGCGUGUGUGAAGAAGGUCUUCGGAUUGUAAAGCACUUUAAGUUGGGAGGAAGGGCAGUAAGUUAAUACCUUGCUGUUUUGACGGUACCAACAGAAUAAGCACCGGCUAACUUCGUG
rnacentral:rRNA from 1 species